rnacentral:lncRNA from 1 species
GAUACCCCCUUACAAGAGACUUAUAGGACCCCAUAUAGACCUAGUCAAAUAAGAAGCUCACAGAGAGAGAUCAUAAUCAAAAUACCUAACAGAAAAUAAGGAAAGAAUAUUAAAAGCUACAAGAGAGAAACAACAGGUCACAUUUAGAGGCAAACUAAUAAGGCUUAGACUCAUUUCUCAGUCCAGACCCUAAAAUCAAGGAAGGCCUGGAAUGAGAUAUUCAAAGCCCUAAACAAAAAUAAAAAAUAAAAAAAAUAAAAAAUAAACUUCCAUCCAGUGUUACUAUGUACACCCAGCAAAGCUUACUUUCAAAUUUGAGGGGGAAAUAAGAAUUUCCUACAACAAGAAUAAGCUAAAAUAAUUAAUGAGCACCAAUCCAGUACUACAAUGAAUACUCAAAGAUAAACUUUACACAGAGGAACUACAAAAUGAUUCUCAAAGGUCACAAACAAAAGUUUGAUAGAAUAAUCCAACAAAAGACAAUCAAAAUGGGAUAGAAUGUAGCAAAAAAACCAAAAUGGCAGGAAACCACAAACACAUAUCCAUACUAACACUGAAUGUUAAUGGUCUCAACUCCCCAUUUAAAAGAAAAGGAUUGGCAGAAUGGAUCAAAAAGCAAGAUUAAACUAUAUGCUGUUUACAAGAGACUCAUAGGCAAAGACAUGCCCAGGCUGAAGCUGAAAGUAUGGCAAAAAAUAUUCCAAACAAAUUGUCCAAGGAAACAAGCAGAAGUAGCUAUUCUCAUAUCUGACAAAACAGAUUUCAAGCAAAAAUCAAUCAGAAGUGACAAAGAAAUCCACUACACCUUAGUAAAGGGAACAAUCCAACAAGAUACAAUGAUAAUAUUUAUUCCCCAAAAGUCAAUAUAUCCAAUUACAUGGAGAAAAUACUCCAUGGCAUUAAAUUCCAUAUAGAACCCCAAACAAUAAUUAGAAAAAAAAACAAUUCUUAAAUUCAUUUAGAGUAA